CUGGCGGAUGCUUUACCUGCAAGUCGGGCGGCAGCAUGGACUUCGGUCUGAUGGCGAGCGGCGAACGGGUGAGUAAUGCAUCGGAACGUACCUAGUCGUGGGGGAUAACUAGUCGAAAGAUUAGCUAAUACCGCAUACGUCCUACGGGAGAAAGCAGGGGAUCGCAAGACCUUGCGCGAUUGGAGCGGCCGAUGUCUGAUUAGCUAGUUGGUGGGGUAAAGGCUCACCAAGGCGACGAUCAGUAGCGGGUCUGAGAGGAUGAUCCGCCACACUGGAACUGAGACACGGUCCAGACUCCUACGGGAGGCAGCAGUGGGGAAUUUUGGACAAUGGGGGCAACCCUGAUCCAGCCAUUCCGCGUGAGUGAAGAAGGCCUUCGGGUUGUAAAGCUCUUUCGGCAGGAACGAAACGGUUCGCUCUAACAUAGCGGACUACUGACGGUACCUGAAGAAGAAGCACCGGCUAACUACGUGCCAGCAGCCGCGGUAAUACGUAGGGUGCGAGCGUUAAUCGGAAUUACUGGGCGUAAAGCGUGCGCAGGCGGCUUUUUAAGCCAGAUGUGAAAUCCCCGGGCUUAACCUGGGAACUGCAUUUGGAACUGGAAGGCUAGAGUGCGGCAGAGGGGGGUAGAAUUCCACGUGUAGCAGUGAAAUGCGUAGAGAUGUGGAGGAAUACCGAUGGCGAAGGCAGCCCCCUGGGUCGACACUGACGCUCAUGCACGAAAGCGUGGGGAGCAAACAGGAUUAGAUACCCUGGUAGUCCACGCCCUAAACGAUGUCAACUAGUUGUUGGAGAGUGAAUCCUUUAGUACGAAGCUAAC
rnacentral:rRNA from 1 species